rnacentral:rRNA from 1 species
UACGGAGGGUGCAAGCGUUAUCCGGAUUCACUGGGGUUAAAGGGUGUGUAGGCGGGCUGUUAAGUCAGUGGUGAAAUCUCCGGGCUCAACCCGGAAACUGCCAUUGAUACUAUCAGUCUUGAAUAUUGUUGAGGUGGGCGGAAUAUGUCAUGUAGCGGUGAAAUGCAUAGAGAUGACAUAGAACACCGAUUGCGAAGGCAGCUCACUAAGCAUGUAUUGACGCUGAGGCACGAAAGCGUGGGGAUCAAACAGG